rnacentral:rRNA from 1 species
UACGGAGGAUGCGAGCGUUAUCCGGAUUUAUUGGGUUUAAAGGGUGCGUAGGCGGGCUUUUAAGUCAGCGGUAAAAAUUCGGGGCUCAACCCCGUCCGGCCGUUGAAACUGGGGGCCUUGAGUGGGCGAGAAGAAGGCGGAAUGCGUGGUGUGGCGGUGAAAUGCAUAGAUAUCACGCAGAACUCCGAUUGCGAAGGCAGCGUACCGGCAUCCAACUGACGCUGAGGCACGAAAGCGUGGGGAUCAAACAGG